AUCUUUGGAAUAACUCUGACUCCUACAUAUUCAGGUUUAGGGGGUCCUGGGUCGGCCAGAAUUUCAAAAUGGGAGGGAUUGAGGGACAUCAAGACGUUGAAAGUCAGCUUAAAACUGAGAUCGCCUAACACAUUAGACAUUCUGAAAACAUCCUAGGAGCCCUCACAAAUAAUGGAGAGGUGAUGUUGCAAAUAGCUAUUUAAAAAUCUCUUCCCAGCAGAUUCUAAGGCUCCAAUUUAGAAACAAUAGGUGCAGAGCCGAGAACAUGGCUUUUGGGAUCCAACGUCAAUUCUACCACUUAAAACUGCAAGACUUUGAACAGUUCAUCUAUCUGUUAACAUUAGUUCCUUCCCUGGUAAAGAGAUAAUAAAAUCAAUAUUGCAGGACCGAUACAAACAGGAAUUAAAUAAAGCACCAAACACAGUUCUUGGCAUACAGCAGUGUUCAAUGUAUGGUAGGUCUAAUUUAAGGGUCUAAAACAUCCACUAUUGUGUGUGUGUGUAUGUGUGUUUUAAACACAAGGGCACACUUACUGGUGCCACUGUUACUUUUAUUCACUACUAGAAAUUAACUAUUUUCCAUUUCUGUCGACUCAGAGAUGAGAGCUUUAGAUUUUUUUCAUUCUCCCAAUAAUCUUUUCAGUGACAAAGUUAAAAUCCAAACUUUUCUUAAUAUGGAGCUACUACAGGACAGAUACUUAUACAGAUGCUUUGAAGGAAACCUUUAACACUAGAAAUGAAUAAAUCUUAUUAUAUGUAACUUAUUUAUCGAUCAAGUUAUUUAAAAACAGUGAUCAGAAUACAACUUGAAAAGCAUUACUGCCAACUCCCUGCUUGCCCUUUAAUCUUGUCUUCAGUACAGAGGAAAUGGCAAUAUUUUGGAACAAUAUUUUGGUAGGAAACACCACUUUUUAUAAGAUUAAAAUACCCAUUCAAUACCACUGAAAGUUCAUCUCAGGAAGCAGGGUUGUUCUACUUAGAGAUGUUUAUUUUCUGGUCUUUAAGAUUCGCCAUGCCUGGGGAUAAAACUAUUAUUUUGACUUAAAACUUUUACAUAUUAAUUUCAUUGUUGCCCUAAUAAAGUGUGACUGACUAGCUAAUGAGUUACCCCAUGUCCUCGAUUCAAACCACAUACCUUGAUGACUGCUAGCAGACACCUUUGGUGUGACAACAGCCACUCACCCCAGGAUGGGCCCUCAGCAAAAGCAGAAGUGACUAAUAUUCAUUUGCUCUCUGCUUUUUAAAAAUUUAUUGGGAUGUACAAUUUUAUACUACAUCAUCUGUAUAUAGCAUUGUGUUGACCACCCCAAGUCAAAUCUCCUUCCAUCACCAUAUAUUUGACCUCCAUUAACCUUUCCUAACUUCCCCUUCCCCUCUUUCCCUCUGGUAACCACUAAACUGUUGUCUGUGUCUAUGAGCUUUUGUUUGUUAGGAGACACUAACUAGUGAGUUGAGGAACUGAGAAGCCUUAUAUUGAGCAAGACCCAAAACAGAGCAGUUUUUCUUUUUGAGAAAGAGAAAGGGGAAAGUCUUUCAAAGUGAGUAUUUCAAAGCGAGUUUAAUUUUUCAGAUCAGAGUUCUAAGAAACUUUUAACAUACUACCAUUGGAAAAGUAGUAUGAAAACCAUCAAGAAGUUUCAAAUCACUGGAACCCAUUACCUUUCCACAAUUUGACUAGAUAAAUGUCUCUCCAGGGUUGUUUUAAAAUAUAACCAAGUAAAACAAACCUAACGUUGGGUACCUAAAGAGAACCAAGUUAUUGGAAGGCAGGCACACACUGUCCUGGACUUUUUUGCAAUUUUGUAACCUGCUUUGACUCUACUCGCAAAAUUCAUUGGAAGAGGAUGAAGGAAAAGCCUCAAUGCCCUGCCCGCGGCCAGACCAGGGACACAAAGCCGUCUGGUUUCAGGCCGUAGGAGAGAAGACGGGAACCCCCUCACCCCAACGUUGGCCGCAGGGAUCCAGGCUCAGGGUGGGAACCCAGCAGCUGCAAGGCCCGACCCCCAGCCCACUCCUUUCUUCACACUUGAGUGUGUGAAACCUCAUCUGUGAAGCCUGUAUGUCAACAUUAAACAGAAAAAAACAAAAGAAAACAACUUUAGCGGCCAAGAUGAAGGUGAGGAACUGAGCUGUCCCCAUCAACACAAAUGAAAAAAAGUCGGAAAAAAACGAAAAGAAGCCACAGCAGCUAAAAUGAACCGCGGUAAUGAACCGGGGCGGCAAGUUCCGGUGCGAAUAGUACCUGUGAUGGAUGCGCGGGCGACACAGCGGGCCCGCAGGGGGAGGGAGCCUUUUUCUGCAGCACGUGGCUCCCUUGACAGGAAACCUGCCAGCGACACCCCCAACUCUGCACACCGCUCAUUUGCAGCAUCGUCAUUUGUGGGAUGCUAAUUUGCUCAAUGUCCUCAUUAACGUACUUGGAGAGAUUCAAUGAAAAUACGCCGUGGGCUUGGGGGAGCUGGCCCUAGGGCAGGCUGGAAGUGGAGGCAAGACACUCACCGAGUGUGACACAGACGGAAGCAGGCAUUUUUGUCUAAGGAGAGAGGGGAAGUGGAAACACUUUAAAGCUAGGUUUUAAAGGAUGGGUAAGAGUUCUCCAAAUCGUGUGGGGAAAGAGAGGAGAGAUAUCCAAAUAGAGGAACUUUCUGGGUGUGUGUGGGGUCAUUAAAUAAAAAUGAGGGGGAACUGCAGACGGGUAGGUGGUGAGGGGCUUUGUAGCUCAUGGCAGGGAGUCUGGAUGAUUCUUGAGGCUGCUUUCCACACUGCAGAUCACAAUGCAAUAGGUUGUGAAAUUCAUGCGACUGUGACCAGCUUUCAAAAAAAAAUGAAAUAGCCCAGAAUAGAAAACAUCAGACUGCAUGGCAGAUAGUGAGAGUGUAAACUCUUGUGAAAUUUGUUUCUGUUAUAAAUGUGUCUAUGUAUGUACAUACUGGUUUGCGAUAUAAAAUGCAUCUCUUACUGUGAGGAUGAUUUAAAAACAUUAAAAUACCAUCUAGGCCAAGGGGACCCAAUUGAGGACAGUUAAACAUGAGAAUACCAUGAGCAGAUUUGAAUUUCAUGAGGGGAAAAGUGGUGGCCAUGUGAAAGAGGUGGCCUCUGUCCAGAGGUGAGGGCUCAGGGGACCUAGGGUAUGCGUUUUUGUUAGGCUUCCCCACACUAGACAGUGAGCUCCUCAAGGACAGAAACCCUGUGUCACAUUGCUCUCAAUUUCUGGCAC